UACGGAGGGGGCUAGCGUUGUUCGGAAAUACUGGGCGUAAAGCGCACGUAGGCGGCGCAGCAAGUCAGGGGUGAAAUCCCGGGGCUCAACCCCGGAACUGCCUCUGAAACUGCAGUGCUAGAAUCUUGGAGAGGCGAGUGGAAUUCCGAGUGUAGAGGUGAAAUUCGUAGAUAUUCGGAAGAACACCAGUGGCGAAGGCGACACACUGGCUCACUACUGACGCUGAGGCGCGGAAGCGUGGGGAGCAAACAGG
rnacentral:rRNA from 1 species